AAUAAGUGUAGUUUUACACUAUUUACGUUCAAUGUUUGACCGUUCGUUUUAUUUAAAAAAAUUUUAUGAUUAGUAUUUUUAUUGUUAUUAGAUGAUAAAACAUGAAUAGUACUUUAUGUAUGACUAAACAUUUUUAAAUUUUUCACAAAUUUUUUAAAUAAGAUGAACGGUCAAUGUUGAGCACGAAUAUCCACAGCUGCACUUAUU
rfam:Oryza rufipogon genomic scaffold, chr02